UACGUAGGCAGCAAGCGUUGUUCGGAAUUAUUGGGCGUAAAGCGCUCGCAGGUGGUUCGUUGCGUCGUGCGUGAAAGACCCCGGCUCAACUGGGGAGGGUCGUGCGAUACGGGCGAACUGGAGGCCAGUAGGGGGAUGCGGAAUUCCGGGUGUAGUGGUGGAAUGCGUAGAGAUCCGGAGGAACACCAGCGGCGAAGGCGGCAUCCUGGACUGGUCCUGACACUCAGGAGCGAAAGCGUGGGGAGCGAUCCGG
rnacentral:rRNA from 1 species